GCUGGGUGCGGUGGCUCACGCCUGUAAUCCCAGCACCUUGGGAGGCCGAGGCAGGCGGAUCACCUGAGGUCAGGAGUUUGAGACCAGCCUGGCCAACAUGGUGAAACCCUGUCUCUA
ensembl:misc_RNA Metazoa_SRP Metazoan signal recognition particle RNA